GAGACAACAACAAAUGCUUAAACAAAUACAGACUUUUGUUAACAAACUGCACGUGCAAGAAGAAAAGUAAAGAAGAAUGCACUCAGAGAUUGAACCAUGUUAUCGCAGAGAGCUUCAGCAAUUUAUCUCUACAGAAACUGGGACAUUUCACCCAUCUGAAGAGUACUCUUUACUCACAACAUAAGCAAGAAUUAAUUUGUUUUCCUGAGUAUCAAGCCCCAGAGCUGUGAGAAAGGAUUGAAAAGGAAACAGAUGUUCACAUUUGCAUAUGGGCAGCCUACACCCAUUUACCCAACCAACAAUGUGGCAGUUGCUUCACAUCUCAUUUUUUGUUAUAACCUUGUUUUAUAAAUGGUCAGCAUGUCUUCAAUGUCUUUUCAAAGGACAGUUUUUGGGUGUUUUUGGAUUUCUGUUAUUCUUAUCUGUUAUGCACGGUGUCACAAGGGAAUAUAACAAAUGUAAA